UUCACAAAGAAAAGAGAACUUUGAAGGCCGAAGUGGAGAAGGGUUCCAUGUGAACAGCAGUUGAACGUGUGUCAGUCAGUCCUGAGAGAAGGGCCAGCGCCAUUCCAAUGGAAUGGCUUUUUAAACAAGUCUUUAUUCUGCUUUUUGGUAGUCAAUGUAUAUGUGGUGGUUGGAACUGCCUCUGCUGUCUUAGACUGUGGGGGUUUGUGAAGAUAAAU
rnacentral:lncRNA from 1 species